GCACGUGUUUGGUUUCAGCCACAGUUGUGGUGGACAAUCCCGUGUCAACCUCAUGCCGCCUCAAGGUGGCUGCUUUCUGCCCCAGGAGCCUCUCCAACAUCUCAGGAGCCUGUUUGGUCCAGCACACAGCCGGGAAGUGCAGGAGGCCACCUUCAGUCAGUGGGAGAUGGGACCCUGUGGAAAGAUGCUCCAGCCUCCUGUCCUUUGGAUGGACCACUCUGGGAAGCAGCCUGUACACUUCUCAGGACAUCCUGCCUACAGCGGCAACCUUGAUAUUUACCAAGGGUCUGCUGAGUGCUGAGGAGUGUACCACGGACUAGAAUGACAAGGAAGAAAGACCUCAGUAAUGCCUUAUAUGGGGUGGUAGGUGAGGCCUGGGGGAGCUUGGAAAGGAAUCAGCAAUGAAAACUCAUGCCACAAAUGCUGAAAAUGGGGGCAACAGGUGAUGCAACCUGGGCUGUGGCAGGGAAGGGCCACACCUGAGCAAACAGUAAGUCUGGGAUCAGCUGAGAUGAAGGCUGUGCCGAAGUGUUUAUGACUCUUCAUGCCUUAUCAUCCCUUCCUGUUGCAACGGAGUGCGCCCCUGCCAUCUGUUUGUACAGACGCUUAUAAAACAACACGGCCUCGUGCCUUGCUUGCUCAUAGCCUUGGGAAUAUCGAUACAGUGCUCCUGGCUGGACAACUUGCUUCCUGCUUCCCCCGCUGAGUGUUCCCACCUCAUGUGGCCCUCUGUCUCAGGUUGGAGGGGGACCCAGAACAGAGAGUAAGGAACCACGAACCCAAAGUCACCCAGCAAGUCAUGGCAGGGUGGGGCUGACUGCAAUUCAAGGCUAUAGGUAUUUAUUAUGGGCCUAAAAUGGGCAAGGUCUAACGCUGGGCCAGGAAUAGGCAUUUCUCCAAACCCUACUGUGCAGGGACCUGCUAUCAGGCACAGAGAGGGAAGAAAAAGGAAGGACACCAUCACACCACCACUGUUGCCACCAUUAUCAUCAUCAUUAUCAUCACUGUUAUGGGCUGAGCUGUAUCCUCCCCAAAAAUGUUAAAGUCCUAACUCCCAGUACACAGAAUGUGACCUUAUUUGGAAAUACGGUCUUUGCAGAUGAUCAAGUUAAGAUGAAGUCAUUAGGAUGGACCCCAACCCAAUAUGACCAGUAUCCUUAUAAAAAAUUUAAACACAGAGAGAGACACAUAUUGGAAGAAUGCCACGUGAACCUGAAAGCAGAGAUCAAGGUAAUAGGUCUACAAGCCAAAGAACGCCAAAGAUUGCCAGCAAACCACCAGAAGCAAGGAGAGAGACACGGAACAGAUUCUGCCUCAGACUCUCAGAAGGAACCAACCUUGUCGACACCUUGGUCUCAGACUUACAUGUACUGUGAGACGAUAAACAACUGUGAGACAAUGAAUUCCUGUUGUUUAGGCCACCCAGGUUGUGGUACUUUGUUAGAGCAGCUCUAGGAAACUAGUACAAUCUCUAUCACCAGCAGCACCAGCGGCAGUGCCACCACCAUCAUCUGCACCAUCAUCGUCAUUGCCACCACCCUUAUCAUUAUCACCGUCACUACCACCAUCACUCCCAUUGCCACAAUCAUCAGCACCACCACCAGCAUCAUCACGGUCACUUAACUCACCACAUGCUGUCACUGUUCUGAGCACUUUAUUUCUAGGAGCUCAUUUAACCCUCGCAACAAUGCUAUGAGGUAGGUACUGUUACCAUCCCCAUUUUUCAUAGACUAUGAAACUGAAGGUCAGAAAGGUUAAAUCAUCUUCCCAAGGCCACACAGCCAGAAAAUGUCUGUGCACGGGCCUCAGCAUUCCUCCAGGACUGCUUCUUUCCUCUCACCUCGACAGCCAUCUUUCUCCCCAGCUGUCAGCUGGUGUGUAUGUGUCCUGUGCUCAUCUCAUUCCGCCAGAAGUCUGCUUUAAUUGAGCAGAUGCUUUGGCAUCGUUCCCGUGCUUCUCAGGCCGUUAGGAACAUGCAGGAGCACGUGGGAAUCAUGAACCGGGGCAGUGCCGUGCAUGGAGUCCUGCCCCCAGGCCUGGUUCACUCUUUGCCCUUGGAGUGCCUAUGUCCCCGCAGACAAGACUGUCCCAGCCUUGAUGCCAGCAACCAUCAGCAGAGGUGUCAAUCACCUUUGGAUGCAGUAUCCACGUGGAUUAUGAUGGAGUUUUAUUGCUCCAGUUGAUAACCACAGGCAUUAACCACGUACAUAGUAAUCAUGACUCAGAAGGAAAUCAACCUGAGCUGUACGCAGGUAUUCCUAACGGCUAUCAGAAAGGGCCUAGGGGGUGUUUGAAUUUCCACUAGCAAUCAGACGUAUGGUUCUUCACAUUUCCCACUGUGCCUGGAAGCAUUCUUCCCACAUCAAAAUGCUUCCAUCAAUGUUUGUUGAAUUGUUUUGACACAUUUCAAACGCAACCAGAGCCCCUAAUCUUUUUUAUUUAUCAAAUUUACUUGUCCUUUUCCCCUCUCUUCUCAUCUUUAUCUAAUAUUUAUUUCUUGUGGAAAGGGUAGAUGAUGAUCAGUUUCAAAAGCUGUAAUGGUUUUCUCAGGUUUGGGCCUGUAGGUGAUGCUUUUAUAGACUAUUGUCCAACUGUUUGCAGAACCUAUAGCUGUUUGCAGAACCUGCAGGUGCUCGCAGACUGCAGAGCUUGUCGCUUUUUGCAAAGCCUAUAGCAGUUCAAAAAUCCCACUGCUGUUUGCAGAGCCUAUCCCUAUUUGCAGAGCCUCUAGUUUGCAAAUGUUUAAAAAUUUUAAAUCACAAUUUAAAAUUGGAAAUGUUUUAAAAUAUGCAUCUGUUUGCAGAACUUGAAGGUGUUUACAGAGCCUACAACUGUUUGUAGAGCAUGCAGCUGUUUGUGGAGCUCUUCAUUAUUUGCAGAUGCUAUAGUUGUUUGCAAACCUUGUUGAAGUUGAUCAGUAUGCCUGCUGGAUGCUUGGCUUCUGACUGGGCUUUUCUCCCUGAGUUAAUAAGGGGUACAUCUUAUUAAAGCACAGACUGUGUGUCCAGUGUGAUGCCAACAGAUUCAAAAGAUACAGAGUUCAAAGAAAGGCCCCUGGAAGAAGAGGUUUUCCAUACAGUGGAGGAACAACUAUGGAGCAUAUAUGGGCCACCCUGAGAAAAAUCCACAAAGACGCACAGGGUUGGGAGGAUGUGAACUUCUAAAGGAUCAGUCCAACUCGUCCCCACAUACAUCUGGAACAGCACAGCUCCAUCUAUGCUGUACCCCAUUCUCACCCCAUGCCCACAGCCUUCAAGCUGCACCCCACCCUCUGUAUCAUCCUAAAUUACACAACAACCACUGUCCUUCCCUGUCCUCAUUAAAACUCCUUUCUCUCCGGGUCCUGAUCCUAGCUAACCCUCGAGGAGAAAAGGGAACAGAUUUGCAACACUUUCUUAGCCACUGGGAUGUGCCACCAUGAAGGGACAUUAACAUUUUGAGAUAAGAACCUUGGAGGCUGCCAUGCCUUCGCCCAAUGGCACGCCCCCUGAUGGUGAGAUCCAGGCACAACGACAGGUAGCAAGCAUGACCUGAGUGCAUGGCAACCUGUCUGCCCAAGGAGAAGGUUUGCCUUGCAGGUGAGCCCCACUUUUUGGCCGCAGUUGUAGUCUGAUUGAAUCUUUGUUAAUCGAAUCCUCUUUUUCCCGUGACUCAUAUGCCCAUUUCAGAGCAAGGAUGCACCCGGAAUGAAAAGUGGCUCCAGUCUAGGCAUGAGCUGCAGGACGAUUCAGUGGGUCCCAGGCAGUGAUUUUCACUGAACAGGAAGGUCUGCUCUCUACAUGUUCCUACGUGUUUGUUUUCUUAAACUUCUGCUUGGACUCUGACUCAAUACAUGGAAUUGACGGCUGUUUCAAUUCCAGUUCUUCCCUGGUUCUGUCUCCCCCUGGCACAGGUUUGCAUCCUUGUCUCAGUGAAGAUUUUUCUUCCUCUCCAAGAGCCAUGGCUGCUAACAGUUUGGUUUUCCAGCCUGAGAGCAGGAGUGAGGCAGUUUGAUCCACUUGGGAGAAGACAACUGCCAUCUGGGCACGGUGACCCCUGAAUCUGUCCCUUCAGAUUCCUGAAUUCCUGGUCCUUCAUCCCCACUGCCCUCUGGGCUUCUUCACCCAGGUGUGCCAAGAGCACCUUACACAUGAAAAGCCCCAAGGCGAGCUCAUUCUCUCUCCCCUCUGCUCUACUCUCUCUGCCUUAUUCCUUACUUUGCAAUCCACCCAGUUGUCCAGGUAAGAUGAAUCCUUUCCCUCUAGUCCUGAUAAUCCUACCUCCGAAAUGUCCCUUACUCUCUACCUUCCACUGACGGUGCAGCAUCCCCAUCUCAUCCUUACCAGAGCGAGGCAGCAGCCUCCUUCCGGCUGUCACCAGUGCCCACCUCCAAUCCAGACCCCAAGGAUCAGCAUUCAGUCAGUCUACAAAUAUUUAUGGAGCACCCAUAAUGUGCCCAUCACGAGGGACACAGCAGAGAACAAGACAGACACAGCUAUGCUUCAAGGAGCUUAUAGUCAGUAGGGUCUUUCUUUUAGUACUUAUCUGGAAAGAAUGCUUCUCUCUGUUUGGUUUUUAAUGUUUUUAAUACACAAGCAAGAGGUGUUCAUUGAGAAAGAACUAGAAAAUGCACUUAAGCAUAACCAAGAAAAUAACGAUCCCUUCUUUUUUAUGGAGAUAUAAUUGACAUAUAACAUUGAGUGAGUUUGAGGGCUGCAAUGUGUUGAUAUGAUACAUUUAUAUAUUACAACAUGAUUACCACUGUAGCAUAGUUAACACCUCUAUCAUGUUACAUAAUUAUCAUUUGUUUCUUGUGGCCAGAACAUUCAAGAGCUAGUCUCUUAACAACUUUGUAAAAAUUACUCUUAAACCUACCACUCGUUCCACGCCCUACUACCAUCCACCCCCCUCCCCUAAAAAACAUUGUUAACCUUUUGGUGUACAGUCAUGUGUUGCUUAAUGACAGGGAUACAUUCUGAGAAAUGUGUCGUUAGGCAAUUUCAUCAUUGUGUAAACAUCAGAGAGGAUAUUUACACAAACCUAGAUGGUAUAGCCUACUGCAUACCUAGCCUAUAGGACACUAAUCUCGUGGGACCACCGUCAUAUAUGCCGUCUGUUGUUAACUGAAAUGUCAUUAUGUGGCACGUGACUGUAUUUCUUUCCAGACGUUUUUCUUUUUCUUAUUUGAAUGUUUUAAAACACCAUGGGUGUCUCUUCUCACCUCGAAUGUGUUUAUUUAUUCAGCAAACGUUUCUUAUUAAGCACCACUAUAUGCUGGGCACCGGGCUAGGUGCUGGGGAUAGAGAUGGGCAAUCUAGCGGAGGAGACAGACAGCAAGCAGAGUCACACACACUGAUAUAUGAUUCUCCACUGUGAUGGUGCUCAUGAAGCCAGGGUUCAGGGAAGCAUGAGUGCGUAUGGUGGGGCCACGAGCUCAUCACGGGGACUUGAGCAGAUCAGGGAAGCUUCUCCAAGGCAGAGUAGGGCUUGCCAAGAUAAGGUAGAGGGGAGAGUGUUUGGGCAGGUAAAGACUGAAUUCAUGAGCAGGCCUGACUUGUCUAUUAGCUUUAGUGGGUACAGUGUCCAGGACCCACCAUACUAAAAGGAACCCAUGAAAGUGUUUUGAUUUCUUUUAAAGUUAGAAGAAAAAAAUGAACUUUUAGGUUGAAGAAUAUGUUUUAAAUAUAACAUUCACGCCCUGGUUUUUAUAUUAAUACAUUUGUAAAAUAUACUUUAUAGAGGAAGGGACCCACAGAGACAGACGUGCCCCUGAAAGUCACAAUGUGGUCCUGGUGUGAAGGCCCACGUGGCUGAAGCAGACAGCAUGGACUGAGAAGAUGACGGGAGAUGUGGGCAGGGGUUCGAUCUGAGGCCAUGGUAGGAAAUAGGACUUUAUCCAUGAGCAACGGGAAAACAGAGAAAUGACAAGAUUCUUUAAAUACUUCGUUUAAUCUCUAAAAAGAAAAUGUCCUUUUUUGAAACCGCAAUACCGUAUUACACCUUAAAAAUAUUAACAUCUGGCAACAAAUGAUGAUGAUGGUUGCGUAACAUUGUGAAUGUACUUAAUGCCACUGAAUUGUACAUUUAAAAAUAGUUAAACUGGUAAAAUUUAUGUUAUGUAUAUUUUACCACAAUUUAAAAAAAGUACAGGCAACAGAUAGCCACUGGGGGAAAAAAUUAACAAAAACUCCUUAAUAUCAUCAAAUGUCCAUUUGGUGUUUGCAUUUCGAAUUGCCUCAUAAAUGUGACAAAUUGUUAAGCUGUUUUGCUUUUGUUUUCUACUGUUUGAAUCAAGAGCCAAAUAAGGUCUACACUUGUAAUUGAUUGCUCUCUUUAAGUCUCUUGUCAUCUAUAGGUUCUGUUCGAUCUUUCUCCCUCCCUCCCGUCUUUUCUUUUCUUCUUCCUCUUCUUCUUACUUAUUUUUUAAGGAAACCAAGUUGUUUGACCUGCAUCUUGUAGAUUACAUUCUUAUGGUAUAGUUUACCAUAUUCCUCUGUCCCUUGUUUUUCCUAUACAGGUAGGGUCUGUAUUUCUCAAUGGCAGUUGGAUGUAGAGACUUGAUCAGAUCCAAGCUCAAUUUUUGGCAAGUCUACUGCAGGAGGUUGUCGGAUACAUCCACAGAUGGCACGUAAAGUCGGCUUUGUCUCUCUUCUGGGGAUGUUGACAGCCACGGAAGGUCACCACUUAGGACAUUGGUCUGUUAUGAGUUGGUGGCACUCUGGUGCCAGGUGCAGAGGGGAGAGCAGGUUGGAGGCUCAGGUGAGCCCAGCAUCUUUCUGUUCAUCCAGGGAAGGACUUGCUGGUGGAGAAAGGGGUGGCGGGGGUCCCUGGGCCUUUUUCUCUCCACCACUGCUGAGCACUGACAGUCCUCACCUCGGUAGGGAAUCUCUCCUGUAUGUGAAGCUGCUUCUGGCAAAUGAAGACAACCUCAGCCGGGCUUUCCUUUUGCCUUAGGUUUUUAGUUUUGACAUCAGGAGCACAGCUAGCACCGCUGCGCCCCAGCAGGUAAAAGCCUGGCUUUGGAGGGACACGGCACUGGGUGCUGGACCAGUAAAGCUCGCUCCGCCCCACUCUAAGUGCCCAGAGGCCUCUACCAUCAGACCAGCUGGGGUCCCAAUCCUGGCUUCCCCACGCACCAGACUGGGCAAGUUACUUCCUCUUCCUGAACGCCAAUCUCCUCGUGGGUAAACUGGGGACAGUUACUAGGCUCACCUUAGAGGGCCAUUGUGAGGUUAAAUGCAGUAAUGUGUAUCAAGUGCAAAGGGCAGUGCCUGGCACGUGAGAAGCACACAGUAAUGGUGACUCAUAUCACGCAUCGCUAUGACCAGUCCCUUCCUUGCCCUGACAGUAAGGGAGUAAGAGGAAAGGGGCUAGACCAUUCCAAUAUGCUCACCUUCAGUAAGGUCCUUGAGCUGGACCCCAAUCCACGGUUUUUCCAGACAAGGCCAUCUUGGGUCUUGACACAAGGAUACGAGGAUUUGGGUGGCCGGCUUGAGGAGGGAGGUGCUUCAUGUCCAGAGGCAGGGAUUCCAGUCCCUUAUGGUAUUAAAUGAAUAGUGGCUUAUGUGCCAUGAGCCCCAUAAUAAGGUAUGGAGGCCCAGUGCCUGGUGAGCCAUCGCCCAGAAGCGCACGUCCCAGGAGGCCAAGGCCAAAGUCCUGUGUGUGCUCAAGUGUUUACUGUCUAGCUCACUCUUGGAUAUUGGUUCUGGAGGCAGAACUUGCAGGGCUCCUGGCUCCUCCUUCCCCUUGACAUCCUCCUCCCCCUCCUCCCCUCCCUGCCCCCAUCUCCACCAAUCCUCAGGACCCUCUACUAUUUGGUGGACAAGUGGCCACUGCAAUCUUUAUACCCCUUGGGCGCAGUCACAUUGGGGCCAGACAUGGCUGUCAUAGGCACUAAAGAGUGGCUCUGAACGAGGCCUUCUGGGUUUCGAGCAGCAGGGUGCGAGGGAGGGAAGGCAGGCUGCAGGAGAGGCUUGUGUGUGAGCCAAGUGUUCAGGCAGAUAGGAGGCAAAUUAUCAUGGGUGCCAAACUCCACAGAGCAGCCAAUCCCGCAAACAGCAGCACGAAGUAGUGGAGCCACGAAAACAGUGACAAGCUCCCAAGUUGUGAAGCUGUUAAUGCCCUAAAAUCUCCUGAGUCGUCCCUGCCUCUCACUGCCACUCCUCUCUUCCUUCUGAUCUCUAUUGUCUCACCCCUGGACUGUUGCCACCACCUCCUAAAGGACACAGCUGCCUGGGCGAACUCUUGAAAAUGCUACAGGGACCAGGACACUCGUCUGCUUAAAACCCUUCCAGGCAGAAUGCUUAAAUUUAUUUUGUUUCACAUACCCCUCUGGCUGGCUGGUGAAGCCUGUUGAUUUCUUGCCAGUGUAAUGUUUUUACAUGCAUUAAAUAAAAUGCACUGAAUUGCAGAGGCAACCAAUUAUAUCAAA
rnacentral:lncRNA from 1 species